ACACUAACAGCGUUUUCUAAAACAGAAGACAGCACUCAAGUCUUACUGUUGUUCACCGUGUAACACGCGCAACUGAAGGCCCAGUAACAUUACGGACGCCUUUUACUUUUCUGCGAACGAAACAGGGAGGCGGCAUAAUUCGCGUCCCCGUUUCAUGUGGCUUGUUCUGGUUACGCUUUUGUUAUCACUAGCUCCACCCGUUUCGACACAUCGAUAUUGCAGUAUUUUCAGGUGGUCCAUAGGGAUGGAACUAAAGGAUGUCUUUAUAACCCAAUGUCUGAAUUUUAAAGGAUUAAAAAAGAAAUAUAUUUAUGUCCUACCAUUAAAACAAAACAAAAAACACUAAAAUGAAUUUUCGGUAAUUUAGGGCCAUGUUUUACUUGUUUUAGCGUACUCCUUGUAUACAUCUCAAAUACGACAAGGAAAUGACAGGCAACCUGUGCUUUUUUUUCAAAUACAUCCUUUCGAACAUC